rnacentral:rRNA from 1 species
ACGGGAGCACCACGAACGGUGGAGCUUGCGGUUUAAUUGGAUUCAACGCCGGAAUCUUACCGGGACCGACAGCAAUAUGAAGGCCAGGCUGAAGACUUUGCCGGAUUAGCUGAGAGGUGGUGCAUGGCCGUCGUCAGUUCGUACUGUGAAGCAUCCUGUUAAGUCAGGCAACGAGCGAGACCCACGCCCACAGUUGCCAGCGUACUCUCUGGAGUGACGGGUACACUGUGGGGACCGCCGCUGCUAAAGCGGAGGAAGGAAUGGGCAACGGUAGGUCAGUAUGCCCCGAAUAUCCCGGGCUACACGCGAGCUACAAUGGUUGGUACAAUGGGUAUCUACCCCGAAAGGGGACGGGAAUCUCCUAAAACCAAUCUUAGUUCGGAUUGAGGGCUGCAACUCGCCCUCAUGAAGCUGGAAUCCGUAGUAAUCGCGUUUCAACAGAACGCGGUGAAUACGUCCCUGCUCCUU